rnacentral:rRNA from 1 species
CCUACGGGAGGCAGCAGUAGGGAAUCUUUCACAAUGGGCGAAAGCCUGAUGGAGCAACGCCGCGUGCAGGAUGAAGGCCUUCGGGUUGUAAACUGAUUUUAUAAGCGAGAAAUAUGAUGGUAACUUAUGAAUAAGGAUCGGCUAACUACGUGCCAGCAGCCGCGGUCAUACGUAGGAUCCGAGCAUUAUCCGGAGUGACUGGGUGUAAAGAGUUGCGUAGGUGGCAUAAUAAGUAGCUAGUGAAAUCUGGUGGCUCAACCAUUCAGACUAUUAGCUAAACUGUUAAGCUCGAGACCGUUAGGGGUAACUGGAAUUUCUAGUGUAGGAGUGAAAUCCGUAGAUAUUAGAAGGAACACCAAUAGCGUAGGCAGGUUGCUGGGACGGUUCUGACACUAAGGCACGAAAGCGUAGGGAGCAAACGGGAUUAGAUACCCGAGUAGUC